UUUAAGAUGGCACUUAGAAAACAUGAAUUCAGCGGAAUACAAUAACCUUAUUACACACCUAGUUUAUUCAACAAUAUAUUUUAGUUUUUGCAUAACGAUGCUGUUUUGACCAAAAAUAGUACAUUGAUUAUUGACAAAAUAUAGAUUAUUAUCGACAAUACCUCUCGUCCACUCUGUAGGGCAAGAGCCUGCAAGACAUAUACAUCGGCAGUCGGUCUAUUAAGUGCCUUGGCCGCGAAGAAAGUAAAAAACGUAAAAUAUAACAUAUGAAUUUACAAGGAGAAAAUGUUUUUUUAUUUACAAAAUUUGAAAUAGUCACACAAUAACACACAAAAAAGUCUGAAGGAUUCUAAUCAUUAUCUAUGUUUUUAUUAAGGUUUUACAUGAUGAAUCUUUAAAUUGCAAUUAGGACAAAGUGCAGGACAUAUUGCUUGAUAAUAUAAUGUGUUAAACAGAUCAUUUUCAUGCAUAUUUAUGCAUGUAAUGUCCUGGGGACGCAAAAGGCACCGAUUCGGCGAAAUGGCCCAUAAAACUCAGCGCGCAGACUAGUCUGUCUGUUUUAUCAGUUGUGUUACUGGUCUUGUAUUAAGAAACGAAUACAUUACCUUUAGACCCUAAUUGUUGGAGUUUUAUAUCUUAUGGGGAACAAAAUAUUUUUGUUUUUUGUUUGUGUGCAGUUUUGCGCGACCACUCGUCCUCGACCAGGGCUUUGAGAGUUAUUGACUUGGGCAUCUCACACACGUGUCUACCUAGCUACUAGAUUGCUUGCUAUGUGCAUUGACUAAAGUUGAUUAUAUUUGUUUUGAUAGCAUAGACAUUCCAUUACGAAUAUGUACCGAUUUUUUGGUCCCAAAUCCACGUAGCACCUCUGCGGAUGUCGGAAUGUUUAGGCGCAAGUAGUGCACCUGAUUCCCCCCAAGAUGUCGCGUUCGGCCGCUCGCUUGUCUUCGCCCUUGCUUCCACUUUGUUACAGAACCGACAUAGUUGUUCAAGCAUGGGCUGAACACAAGUGCAGUCCAUUCUUAAAUCAUUCCCAUAACGUUUAUUUGGUCAACCACUCGUGCAUUCAACCUGGAAUGGUGAACGACCGUGGCUGGUGUAGUCAGUUAACCUGGACGCACACAAUGAUAGAGAUGUGAUUUUUACAGAGGGUUAACAAAUUGCAAAAAUGCACUAAAGAUUGAGUUUCAAGGCAAAUAUUGGGAAUGUUUGAAGUGUUUAGGAAAGGCUAAAGCAAGGACAAUCACAAAAAUAUAUACUGUAUUGUCUAUUUUUUUAAGUUAAUGUAUAACUAUAAGAAAUAUAGAAUGGAAGAGUGGGAUUGGAGGUAGGUAAAAAAGAGGAUUUGUUAUAAACCAUUCUAAUAUCCAUUCAUUCUUUAAGUUAUCAGAAAAUGUACAUUUUCUUUUAGGCAGUUUUGAAACUGGGCAUCAUUGAAACAUUUCUCAGUUGACAAUUCCUAAAGGUAUUAGGGGAAAGCAGCCAAAAGCCCUAUAUUUUACAUCACAUAUUAUAUAAUGGAUAGAAAAAAAUCCUGCCCCCCGAAGAUUUCCCAAUAACCCCUCAAUCAAAGCAAUCUAGAGCCAGAUCUGCUUCAAUAUGUACCAGAUUCAAUAUUUAGUAUAUUAGUAUUGCAUUUUUGCAAAUAACCAUCAUAAUUAUGGAAUAUAGGCUACACAUAGACAAAAUUAAUGUUAAUGCAAUUGUUGUCAGUGUAUUUAUACAACCUUUUUAGACUGCCACAUGCAUCUUUACUAACUCACUACUGUAGUAGUCUUUAUUAUCCUAGUGGUCAUUUAUUUGUCCAGCAUUCAGUACAGAAAUGUCAUAUGACAGUCAAUAUACAAAAACUAAAAUAUGUACAGCAGUAAGAGGAAAAAUCUCCCAGGUAAAAUGUCUAGUUAAACAGUUGUUUAAUGUAUCCUAAUUCACUGGCUUUUUGUACACUUUAAAACAGGUUCAAUUUAGUCCUUUUCCUCACCGGGCCCUACUGCUCACCAGUCUGACAGUUGAGCAUCUACAGGCACACUUUUGGGACUAGCAAAAUAAGUUUUGCUGGACCGCGUAAGCGGAGGCGGCCAAGAAGAGCAAAUGUCUCUAACUGAGCUACAUUAUCUGUGUGUUUGGUCGCCGGCUCCAGGAUCCUGCGGUCCAGUUUCUACUUUCCACCACACCUCCUCAAGUCUCCACACCUGCUGUUCAUUUCUUCAUCAGCUUGCUGUUAAAUACCUUGGUUUCCCAUCCACUCAUCGCCAGAUCAUUGUUGUUCAUUACCUGAGAUACUCCCUUCCUGCUUACAAUCUCAUCCACCUGCCUGCCUGCCAGUCAACCUGCCCUGCCCAUGCUGCCUGCCUACCUCGCUGCCCUGUCUGCCUUGCCCUGCCUACCAGCCCAGCCCUCAACCCUCCGACCAUGCCG